CGCUGCCGUGCGAAGCCGCUGUUUCGCUGGGUUCUGGCCUGUUCGUGCACAUUUUUCUAUUGUCAAGCGCAUGUCGCUAGAUCGCUUUGCCACUUGGGUUUUUAGCAAGUUGUUUAACGGAUUGUUAAUCUACAGUACAAAAUCUCCAUUUUGUACGGGUAAUUUGUUCUUUCGUUAAAGCCGUUGAUGAGUUGUUAGUUUUUCAUUUUUAGCAAGUCGUUAAAUUAUAGUUUAACGGAUUGUUAAAUUAUGUUGUUAAUGGGUGGUUAAUCUUGUUGUUUUUCCUGUCGCUAACUGUGUCAUUGGUUUUGGCCGUAGGUUCAUGACUCGUGUUUCGGUACUAAAUUGUCAUCCGAAUCUUUGAUUCAUGCAUGUUUCCAUCCUGUCAUGUGAAUUCGUAUUUCGUCUAGUAUUUUCCAGUCUUGCCGCUAACGAGUUUGUCACGCGAGUCUGCAAUUCGUGCAUGACUCGUUAAUCCGUCUCCUAUCUGAUAAGUUCUAUUUUCCUGGUUGUUUCCCGGCCGGUUUCAUUCACGUUGAUGUUAAAAAGUCGUUAACUCGUUUUUUCGGGUGAUGCAAGAAAACACCAUAACUUCUAAAAAUCAGAACUAAUUAAUCGGAACUCCGUUUAAGCCCAUUCAAAUUGUGGUGGAUCAAUAAUUUUCUCAAGAAUCCGUUAAAAGUAGCUUCUAUUGUUUUUUAGUGCCCCAUUGUACUGUUUUGAAUGUUUUUUUUUGUCUGUCCUAGAUUUUAGAGAAACCUAGGGUCCGAUCUACUACGGAGUGGUAGCCUUAGACGUUCCAGGGUCACAAAGGCAAGUCACUUUUUGAGCAAUUCAUUGCUAAAUCCUUGAGCAUGUUGAUCCUCGACUUUAAAAUUUUUUUUGCACUCACAAUCAUUCUCAUUUAAUAAGUCAAGACUUAGUCUCGCUAUGCUUAUAUAGUUGUGGUUAGGUGUUUGCGCGGUUUUUGGUAUUCUCAUUUGACAGAAGCCUAGAACACACUGAGGUUAUGUUUUUCUACGUUUCUCUUGUUUUAUAGGUCAGCGACUCAUAUAGCAUAACUAAAGGUUUAGCAAAACAUGACUAUUGGUGGAUUGUGAGUGCAAUGGUUUUGCAAGUGGUGGUCAUAGUAAUUAAGGACCGGUUUAUAGGAAACCCUCAUGAGACAUAUCUGUACUUACCACAAGCCAGCGUGGACAACAGUUGAACUUGACAUAUAGCUCAUUCCUCUACUAGGCACCUAAACAAGGGUGGAAGUGAAGGAGUUGCGUCGGUUCGAAGAUGGAUUGAUCAAUAGCCAGAUAUGCGGUGGCACAAGAGGGGUAGUCUUGCCAACCUGGGCUAGGGUGUGGGACAUGUAACCUCAAUGUGUUUUGGAUGGUUAGGAGUGAGCUAUGUGAACGGUCCUGCCCUAACUUUUUCAUGGGAUGUCGUGGUGACAUGCCGACGUGCUGGUACAUAUGUAGGGCUGUGUCUUGAGGGUAAAGUUGUAUACCUGUGAUCGGAGUAAAACUGUUUAAACAGCCUGCCCACGAUUAUUGGGCGAUUGAAGAGAUUCACUGCGAUUAGUUUUACAGUUUUCAUAAUUAAAUGAAUAUGGUAAAACUUGAUGAGAUAGUUGGACCAGUAUCAUGUGGUUUAGCAUGGUAUUAGUGGGUUCACAGGUAUCAUGUGGUUUAGCAUGAUAGUAGUGGGAGCACUGCUAUUGUGUGUUUUAGCACAAUAUUAGUGUUAGGAUUGAUCCAGUGUGAUUUAGCACUAGCUAGUGAUGGUUUAAUACUGUUAUUUAACUAUCUGGUCAUCCUCUUUUGCUUUUAUUUUAAGUGCUGCUUUUGCAAAAGUAAGCCUUAGUCGCAUUUUCUUUGUGCACCCAUAUGCAUUUCUCUUGUAUUUGUUGGUGGCUUGUUGAGUAUGGUGGUUGUACUCAGCCUGCUUCUCCUCUUUUCUCCAGAAGCCAAAUCUAUGUCAUACGAGGAGCCGUUUGAAGAUUAGGCAUGUUGCUACACUCAGUGCUGCCUGUGGGGUUGUGAUGUUGUCAUUGCUUCUUAUAAAAGUUGCAUUAGUUUGGUUUUUUAAUGCGUUGUUAAGACUCUAUUUAUUUUAUUUUUUUAUUAAGACGUUUGUUCUGUAAGAUCAUAAGCAUGAUUAAUAUUUUCUGAUGAACAAUUGGCUUGCCAUUUGGUUUAUAAAUUGAAUUUGGUUUGGAAACAAUUAAGGUGUUGGUGCGAGUGUGUGUAACUAAUGUGAGUCAGGUUGCGAUAUCUGUGCUCGGAAACGGUUGGUUUGUCUCUAGUUGUGCAGGUGACUUGAGGUCAAUAUCG
rnacentral:lncRNA from 1 species